GUCGACCUAGCUCAGUUGGUUAGAGUGCUAGAUUCAUACUCUAGAGGUCCGGAGUUCAACUCUCCGGGUCGACA
rnacentral:tRNA from 1 species